UGCAAGUCGAGCGGAACGAGUUAUCUGAACCUUCGGGGAACGAUAACGGCGUCGAGCGGCGGACGGGUGAGUAAUGCCUAGGAAAUUGCCCUGAUGUGGGGGAUAACCAUUGGAAACGAUGGCUAAUACCGCAUGAUGCCUACGGGCCAAAGAGGGGGACCUUCGGGCCUCUCGCGUCAGGAUAUGCCUAGGUGGGAUUAGCUAGUUGGUGAGGUAAGGGCUCACCAAGGCGACGAUCCCUAGCUGGUCUGAGAGGAUGAUCAGCCACACUGGAACUGAGACACGGUCCAGACUCCUACGGGAGGCAGCAGUGGGGAAUAUUGCACAAUGGGCGCAAGCCUGAUGCAGCCAUGCCGCGUGUAUGAAGAAGGCCUUCGGGUUGUAAAGUACUUUCAGUCGUGAGGAAGGCGGCGUCGUUAAUAGCGGCGUUGUUUGACGUUAGCGACAGAAGAAGCACCGGCUAACUCCGUGCCAGCAGCCGCGGUAAUACGGAGGGUGCGAGCGUUAAUCGGAAUUACUGGGCGUAAAGCGCAUGCAGGUGGUUUGUUAAGUCAGAUGUGAAAGCCCGGGGCUCAACCUCGGAAUAGCAUUUGAAACUGGCAGACUAGAGUACUGUAGAGGGGGGUAGAAUUUCAGGUGUAGCGGUGAAAUGCGUAGAGAUCUGAAGGAAUACCGGUGGCGAAGGCGGCCCCCUGGACAGAUACUGACACUCAGAUGCGAAAGCGUGGGGAG
rnacentral:rRNA from 1 species